AUUGAACGCUGGCGGCAGGCCUAACACAUGCAAGUCGAACGAGUGGCGGACGGGUGAGUAAUGUCUGGAAAACUGCCUGAUGGAGGGGGAUAACUACUGGAAACGGUAGCUAAUACCGCAUACCAUCGGAUGUGCCCAGAUGGGAUUAGCGAGUAGGGGGGGUAAAGGCUCACCUAGGCGACGACCCCUAGCUGGUCUGAGAGGGUGACCAGGCACACUGGGAAUGAGACACGGUCCAGAACACUACGGGAGGCAGCAGUGGGGAAUAGUGGACAAUGGGCGGAAGCCUGAUGGAGCCAUGCCGCGUGUAUGAAGAAGGCCGUCGGGGUGUAAAAUACUUUCGGGGGGGAGGCGUUACCCGCAGAAGAAGCACCGGCUAACUCCGUGCCAGGAGCCGCGGUAAUAC
rnacentral:rRNA from 1 species